rnacentral:rRNA from 1 species
CCUACGGGCGGCAGCAGUAGGGAAUAUUGCUCAAUGGGGGAAACCCUGAAGCAGCAACGCCGCGUGGAGGAUGAAGGCUUUAGGAUUGUAAACUCCUUUUGUGAGAGAAGAUCAUGACGGUAUCCCAUGAAUACGCACCGGCUAAAUCUGUGCCAGCAGCCGCGGUAAUACGGAGGGGUGAAGCGUUACUCGGAUUCACUGGGAGUAAAGAGUGCGCAGGCGGGCUUGGAAGUCAGAUGUGAAAUCCUGUGGCUUAACUACAAAACUGCAUUUGAAACUAUGAGUCUAGAGUGUGGGAGAGGUAGAUGGAAUUCUUGGUGUAGCGGUAAAAUCCGUAGAUAUAAGGAGGAAUACUCGUUGCGAAGGCGACCUGCUGGA